UACGAAGGGUGCAAGCGUUACUCGGAAUUACUGGGCGUAAAGCGUGCGUAGGUGGUUUGUUAAGUCCGUUGUGAAAGCCCUGGGCUCAACCUGGGAAUGGCAGUGGAUACUGGCAAGCUAGAGUGCGGUAGAGGGUAGUGGAAUUCCCGGUGUAGCAGUGAAAUGCGUAGAGAUCGGGAGGAACACCAGUGGCGAAGGCGGCUACCUGGACCAGCACUGACACUGAGGCACGAAGGCCAGGGGAGCAAACGGG
rnacentral:rRNA from 1 species